GUAGGGGGCAAGCGUUGUCCGGAUUUACUGGGGUGUAAAGGGGUGCUCAGGUGGAUUUAUUAGUCAGAGGGUGAAACUCCGAAGCUCAACUUCGGGAACUGCCUUUGAUACUGUAAGUCUAGAGUUUGAGAGAGGGCAAUGGAAUAUCUGGUGUAGCAGUGAAAUGCGUAGAUAUCAGAUAGAACACCAAUGGCGAAGGCAGUUGCCUGGCUCAAUACUGACGCUAAAGCACGAAAGUGUGGGGAGCAAACAGGAUUAGAUACCCUGGUAGUCCACACCCUAAACGAUGAAUACUAGAUGUUGGUCUUUUUAAAGAUCAGUAUCUUAGCUAACGCAUUAAGUAUUCCACCUGGGAAGUACGAUCGCAAGGUUG
rnacentral:rRNA from 1 species